rnacentral:misc_RNA from 1 species
UGGGAAGCUCUUGUGGAGCAUGCAAAGACAUGUGCUCUGGGUGGGAAACUUUAUAUCUAUUAUCCUGAAGAUUCAAGAAGUGUCGGUGCUGUUUUCAACAACAUCUAUGAACUAAAUGGCCUUAUUUCAGGGGAACAAUAUUUUCCAGCUGAUUCUCUUUCUGAUGAGCAAAAGGUCUAUGUGGAUACAUUGGUGAAGAAAGCAUAUGAGAAUUGGAAUCAGGUUGUGGAAUAUGAUGGCAAGUCUCUUUUGAACUUCAAGCAAAAUAAGAGGUCAAAUGCUUUCCGAAAUGAAUUUCCGAUGGGCCAAAUUAGUUACCCUAAUGCUUUAGACCAUCAAAUGCAAUUACCUAGGCUACCAGCUUCAGUUCCUACCGAUCAGGCUUCUGUGCAUUCAGGCCUCCAAGUUGGAGCAUCUGGUUAUAAUGAAAAUAUGGGAUCAGGGUUCUCAUCUCAGUCCCAGCUUUUGAAUCCAAAUUCACGUGCCCAAUUUGAUAACACCUCAUUCACGUCAAAUGAGCCUUUAAUCAGCAAUUCUCACCAGGCCCAAAGCAUGAGAAGUGAUAACAGUGUUGUUGGCCUGGCCCUUGGUCCUCCUCAGUCAUCUACCUCAGGGUUUCAAGUUCUUGGCUCUUCAAUGCAGCCACCCAGUCUCAAUCCUUUUGAUGAUUGGACCAACAACAGGGACAAGGGAGUUGAUGACUACUUUACAGAGGAGGAGAUUCGCAUCCGAAGUAACGAAAUGCUUGAGAAUGAAGAUAUGCAACACUUGCUCCGACUCUUCAGCAUGGGAGGGCAUGCCUCUGUAAAUAUACCUGAAGAUGGGUAUUCAUUCCCACCUUAUAUGGCAUCACCAAUGCCAAACUUUGAUGAGGAUCGCACACGUCCUGGUAAGGCUGUUGUGGGGGGGCUGAAGAUCAAGGCAGCUAUGAGGUGGGGUUUCUUUAUCAGGAAGAAAGCAGCGGAAAGGCGGGCUCAACUCGUUGAGUUGGAUGAUGAAUAGUAGUUAGUUUCUUGUUGUAAAGACUUGGAGACUAUCUGCAACAUCAAUGGAUAGUGGAAGACCCAAUUGUCUUCUCAUAAGGCAGCAACAGGCUUUGGGACUGGAUGGUUUUGAAAGUCUUGAAGACCUCUUUGUGAGUUGCUGGGUAUUAGGUAUCAGAGAAUUUCUUCUUGUACAUUUACCUGUACAGUAGGUUGUUUCGUUGAUAACUCUUCUUAGCAAGAUGAUUCUCUCUGAUCAUGUUAUCGUUGUGUGUAUUAUAAUCUGUCAAAGAUCCUUUUAAGGGUUGAAUUUAUAUUUCUGCUAAUGGCCCUUCAUUCUUGUUGACUGAUUAGGGGGACCUGUUUCUAAUA